rnacentral:rRNA from 1 species
UGGGGAAUAUUGCGCAAUGGGCGCAAGCCUGACGACGCAACGCCGCGUGGAGGAUGAAGGUCUUCGGAUUGUAAACUCCUGUUGAUCGGGACGAAAAGCUUCAACCUAAUACGUUGAAGACUGACGGUACCGGUUGAGGAAGCCACGGCUAACUCUGUGCCAGCAGCCGCGGUAAUACAGAGGUGGCAAGCGUUGUUCGGAAUUACUGGGCGUAAAGGGCGCGUAGGCGGCCUCCUAAGUCGGACGUGAAAGCCCCAGGCUUAACCUGGGAACUGCGUCUGAUACUGGGAGGCUUGGAUUCGGGAGAGGGAUGUGGAAUUCCAGGUGUAGCGGUGAAAUGCGUAGAUAUCAAGAGGAACACCUGAGGUGAAGACGGGUUGCUGGGCUGACACUGACGCUGAGGCGCGAAAGCCAGGGGAGCAAACGGGGAUUAGAUACCCCCGUAGUCCCUGAGCGGGCUGGCAAGGCGCAU